rnacentral:lncRNA from 1 species
CCUACUUAAAUGAUGUCACGAAGAACAUUUUUCAAUGGCUUAUAGCCCUUUUUUGCUAGACCAUCUCACUGAUAUUUGAAACUUUCAAAGAAGGAACUCUACUUAGAGAUAUUGAGCAUUAUAGUCAACAUAAUUUUAGUUAUGGAAAAUCAUGUGGAUUGCUGACAUGUGAAAUCAUCAGACAAAUGAAUGUCCAAGAUUUACUUCUCAUCAUGCAGUCCAAUCGAAAAAGUCAACAAAGAGAGUAGAAUGUGGAGUUCAGACAGAGUGCAACUAGCAAAAGCUUCUUAAUACAUGUGAUUUUGUUGAGAUAGAAAUAUGCUUACUGGAAAAAUUAGUACUUAUUUUAUAUACCUCAUAUUGCAAGAAAAUAUUCAUAUCUUUCAACAUAAAAUGUUAGACUUAGUGUUGGAGCAUUCUGACAUUGUGUUCCAAGCAUUUUGACCCCUUGAAUAAUAAAAUUUGAGAGAGGAAGUUUCCUGUAGUCUGUUGAAUAUAUAGUUUAUAAUUUAUAUGUCAUCAUAUUUCUAACAACAAUUAACUCAUUGCUUAAGUUGUUUCAUUGAUGUUGUAACUAUAUUGCAUUGACUUUCAUUUCAAGAAGAUUAUUUAUGAAAAAUCCCGAUAUUGCAUUCCCGCCCUUUUCAUGAAACUAAAUUAUUUUAUAAAAUUGAGUUCAUUGGUUAAGAUGAAAUUUCAUAAAAUUACUGGAUAAUAUGGAAGUGGAAAAUUUCUUUCUGCAUAAUUUUUUCCAAACUUCAUAUUUUUCUCUUAUUUUCAUUUUACUUAUUUUCAUUUUUGAACCUCUUCUUUCUAUUUAAUAAUUAAUCAUGCCCUCUCAGCUCUCAAAAUUCAAAAACCUUAAAUCAAGGAAAGGAUAUCAUCAUGAUUUUGAAAUUAAAAACAUUCAAAGACAGUCUUUGUAGUGACUUCAACCAGUUAGGCUUAACUUUUUGGAAAUAUGCUCUUUUUUGCUACUUCAAUUCUUUUUCAGAUUUGUAUUUCAGCAAUCCC